rnacentral:sRNA from 1 species
AAUUAGCCCCGAAAGAAGUGCAAAUCCUAUUUUAUACUCUACCACCUUCGGUAGAGUAUAAAAAAGAUUGUAACGAAUAGCGGGAAUAGCU